UACAGAGGUCUCAAGCGUUGUUCGGAUUCAUUGGGCGUAAAGGGUGCGUAGGCGGCGAGGCAAGUCAGGCGUGAAAGCCCCGGGCUCAACCUGGGAACGGCGCUUGGGACGGCGAGGCUGGAGUUCGGGAGAGGAGAGUGGAAUUCCCAGUGUAGAGGUGAAAUUCGUAGAUAUUGGGAAGAACACCGGUGGCGAAGGCGGCUCUCUGGACCGACACUGACGCUGAGGCGCGAAAGCGUGGGGAGCAAACAGG
rnacentral:rRNA from 1 species